GAUGAACGCUGGCGGCGUGCCUAAUACAUGCAAGUCGAACGGACAGGCGAGGCUCUUGCUCCGCGCACGUUUGCGGCACGCGUGUGUGUAACACGUGUAUCCCCUACCUGUCAGACUGGUAUAACUUCGGGACACCGGCGCAAAUACCGUAUAAUAUCUUGAAGCACAUGGUGCGAUAGUGAGAGUCGGUUUUGCUGUCACUUCUCGCUGGAUACGGGCCGCAUUAGCUAGUUGUUGAGGUAACGGCCUACGAAGGCGACGAUGCGUGGCCGACCUGACAGGGUGAUCGGCCGCACUGGAAGUGAGACAGGGUCCAGACUACUACGGGAGGCAGCAGUAGGGAACCGGACGCAAUGGGCGAAAGCCUGACGGAGCAACGCCGCGUGAGUGAUGAAGGUCUUCGGAUCGUAAAACCCGGUUACGAGUGAAGAACAAAUGUGGAAGGAACCAUGGACGUAUUGACGGUAACUAAUCAGAAAGCAACGGCUAACUACGUG
rnacentral:rRNA from 1 species